CGAGAGCUGACCCAGCCAUGCCGCGUGCAGGAAGAAGGCCUUCUGGGUUGUAAACUGCUUUUACCAGGGAAAAAAACGCGCCUGCGGGCGUAACUGACGGUACCUGGUGAAUAAGCACCGGCUAACUCCGUGCCAGCAGCCGCGGUAAUACGGAGGGUGCAAGCGUUGUCCGGAUUUAUUGGGUUUAAAGGGUGCGUAGGCGGCCCGUUAAGUCAGCGGUGAAAUCCCGGGGCUCAACCCCGGAACUGCCGUUGAUACUGGCGGGCUUGAGUUCGGUCGAGGCGGGCGGAACUGGUGGUGUAGCGGUGAAAUGCAUAGAUACCACCAAGAACCCCGAUUGCGAAGGCAUCUCGCUGGGCCGAAACUGACGCUGAGGCGCGAAAGCGUGGGGAGCGAACAGGAUUAGAUACCCUGGUAGUCCACGCCGUAAACGAUGAGUACUCGAUGUUUGCGAUACACGGCAAGCGUCCAAGCGAAAGCGUUAAGUACUCCACCUGGGGAGUACGCCCGCAAGGGUGAAACUGAAAGGAAUUGACGGA
rnacentral:rRNA from 1 species